AUUGAACGCUGGCGGCAUGCCUAACACAUGCAAGUCGAGCGGAGCGGCUGACGGGCGAGUAAGUCCUAGGAAUCUGCCUUGUCGUGGGGGAUAACGUCCGGAAACGGGCGCUAAUACCGCAUACUAUCAGAUGAGCCUAGGUCGGAUUAGCUAGUUGGUGGGGUAAAGGCUUACCAAGGCGACGAUCCGUAACUGAGUUGAGAGGCUGAUCAGUCACACUGGAACUGAGACACGGGCCAGACUCCUACGGGAGGCAGCAGUGGGGAAUAUUAGACAAUGGGCGAAAGCCUGAUCCAGCCAUGCCGCGUGUGUGAAGAAGGUCUUCGGAUUGUAAAGCACUUUAAGUUGGGAAGCGUUACCAACAGAAUAAACACCGGCUAACAUCGUGGCAAGAAGCGCGGUAAUAC
rnacentral:rRNA from 1 species